GGGUUUGUAGCUCAGUGGUAGAGCGCUUGCCUCACAAGCAUGAGGCAAUGGGUUUGAUCCUCAGCACCA
rnacentral:tRNA from 1 species